rnacentral:rRNA from 1 species
GAUGAACGCUGGCGGCGUGCCUAACACAUGCAAGUCGAGCGAUCUUCUUCGGAAGAGAGCGGCGGACGGGUGAGUAACGCGUGGGUAACCUGCCCUGUACACACGGAUAACAUACCGAAAGGUAUGCUAAUACGAGAUAAUAUGCUUUUAUCGCAUGGUAGAAGUAUCAAAGCUCCGGCGGUACAGGAUGGACCCGCGUCUGAUUAGCUAGUUGGUAAGGUAAUGGCUUACCAAGGCGACGAUCAGUAGCCGACCUGAGAGGGUGAUCGGCCACAUUGGAACUGAGACACGGUCCAAACUCCUACGGGAGGCAGGAGUGGGGAAUAUUGCACAAUGGGCGAAAGCCUGAUGCAGCGACGCCGCGUGAGCGAUGAAGGCCUUCGGGUCGUAAAGCUCUGUCCUCAAGGAAGAUAAUGACGGUACUUGAGGAGGAAGCCCCGGCUAACUACGUGCCAGCCGCCGCGGUAA